UACGUAGGGGCUAGCGUUGUCCGGAUUUAUUGGGCGUAAAGAGCGUGUAGGCGGCCUGGUAGGUCUGCUGUGAAAACUCGAGGCUCAACCUCGAGAUGUCGGCGGAAACCAUCUGGCUAGAGUCCGGAAGAGGAGAGUGGAAUUCCUGGUGUAGCGGUGAAAUGCGCAGAUAUCAGGAAGAACACCCGUGGCGAAGGCGGCUCUCUGGGACGGUACUGACGCUGAGACGCGAAAGCGUGGGGAGCGAACAGG
rnacentral:rRNA from 1 species